rnacentral:rRNA from 1 species
CAGCAGCCGCGGGAAUACGUAGGGUGCAAGCGUUAAUCGGAAUUACUGGGCGUAAAGCGUGCGCAGGCGGUUCGCUAAGACAGAUGUGAAAUCCCCGGGCUUAACCUGGGAACUGCAUUCGUGACUGCGGGCUAGAGUAUGGCAGAGGGGGGUAGAAUUCCACGUGUAGCAGUGAAAUGCGUAGAGAUGUGGAGGAAUACCGAUGGCGAAGGCAGCCCCCUGGGCCAAUACUGACGCUCAUGCACGAAAGCGUGGGGAGCAAACAGGAUUAGAUACCCGCGUAGUCCCUGUCUCUUAUACA